rnacentral:tRNA from 1 species
UGAUAGUAAGAGUUCUCUCUGUCUCCGGGGCUACAACCCGGCGCCUGUCUCGGCCACAC